rnacentral:lncRNA from 1 species
CCGUCGUUCGGUGAUGGUGGCUGGUGGAGGUGUUGAGGGGUUUGGUGGUGAGGUGCUGACGUGGCGAUGUUGGUUUUGACGUGUUGGUGUGUGGUUGAUGCAUUGUGUAAUUGGUUCCACAUACUGGACUCUCUGACCGCUUACAAAUCUGUUAAGAUUUGUAGGAUUCUUUUUUGAGUCUCUGUUCGUUUCCAACUCUGUUGAGAUUUCAGGUAUCUUUAUAUCUGUUUGGACCUCUUCCGCGGCGGCGUUGACGGUUUGGAGGCGGACUGCGAGGUGAGACUUAUCUGCCUAGGCUUUCUUUCUACCGUGGUCCAUCAAUUUUGGCUCGCGGAGAUGCUUUUUGGAUUCUGAUGGGCCAAUCACUUUUGUUUCCAGAUCGGGAGUUAGAAUCUACUAUCAUUUCUAUGGGUCUGGUUGAUGUCUUCUUGGGUGGUUUAGAAGCUGAGGAGCUUCGUUCUAAGAAUGGGAUUAGAACUUACCUCUAUUAGGUAGUGUUGGUUUUUGUUGUAUUCAUUUAUGUUCCGCUUAUAUACAGGCGUCUUUGUUUUUGUAGUUCCAAUUUCUCUCGGUCUAUGUUCGUCUUGUACGGAGACCGAUUAAUUUUAAUAAUAUAUUUUGCUGUUAAAAAAAAAAUACCAAUAAUAAACAUGUAACAUCACCACUAAAUGUUUAACAACAUUUUUCUCUUUUUGGUUAAGUGGUAAAAGGCAAAAAGAGCAAGCAACUUCGACAAAUUAUAUGGUUGGCAACGACUUGGAGCAUUUGGCGCAUGCGGAAUAACAUAUUAUUUAGAAGUGGUUGUGUGAAUGUAUCUUCUAUAGUGGACAAAAUCAUUUAUAUAUCGUGGUUUUGGUUUAUAUGCAGAUUAGGGAGAAAUGUCAAUGUAACUUUUUCUUAUUGGUUUAGCAACUCUUUAGAGUGCUUUCAAAGUAUCUAAAGUGCUUGCCCUUGAAUUGGAAGGAUUAAGUAUCUCUUGUACUCCUUAUAAUUCAAUCUUUGCUUAUAAAA